rnacentral:rRNA from 1 species
AGGACUAACGCUGGCGGCGUGCCUAACACAUGCAAGUCGAACGAGAGUAGCAAUACUCUAGUGGCAGACGGGUGAGUAACACGUGGUCAACCUACCUCUAUGUGGGGGAUAACUAGCCGAAAGGUUAGCUAAUACCGCAUACGAUCGUCGAGCGGCAUCGCUUGACGAUGAAAGGAGCAAUCCGCAGAGAGACGGGACCGCGUCCCAUUAGCUAGUUGGUGGGGUAAUGGCCUACCAAGGCGACGAUGGGUAGCUGGCUUGAGAGAGCGACCAGCCACACUGGGACUGAGACACGGCCCAGACUCCUACGGGAGGCAGCAGUGAGGAAUUUUCCGCAAUGGGCGAAAGCCUGACGGAGCGACGCCGCGUGUGGGAAGAAGGCCUUCGGGUCGUAACCACUGUCGAAGGGGAAGAGUAUUGACGGUACCCUUGGAGGAAGCCCCGGCGUAACUACGUGCCAGCAGCCGC